rnacentral:rRNA from 1 species
GACGAACGCUUGCGACGUGCCUGAGAAAUGCAAGUCGAGCGGGCAGAGUUCUUUCGGGGACUUUGUUAGCGGCGAACGGUCGAGUAACACGUAACCAACCUGCCCUUAGGUCUGGGAUAGCCCUUCGAAAGAGGGAGUAAUACCGGAUAGUCUCCUGAUGUGACAUCGUAUUGGGAGUAAAGGCUAGUACGCCAAAGGAGGGGUUGCGUCCUAUCAGCUGGUUGGCGGGGUAACGGCCC